rnacentral:rRNA from 1 species
GAAGUCGUAACAAGGUUUCC